rnacentral:rRNA from 1 species
UACGGGGGGGGGCAAGCGUUAUCCGGAUUUAUUGGGUUUAAAGGGUGCGUAGGCGGCUUUUUAAGUCAGGGGUGAAAGACGGUAGCUCAACUAUCGCAGUGCCCUUGAUACUGAAGAGCUUGAAUGGACUAGAGGUAGGCGGAAUGUGACAAGUAGCGGUGAAAUGCAUAGAUAUGUCACAGAACACCGAUUGCGAAGGCAGCUUACUAUGGUUUAAUUGACGCUGAGGCACGAAAGCGUGGGGAGUCAAACAGG